GCCUGGCAUGGUGGAGUAAGCCUGUAAUCCCAGUUGCUUGGGAGGCUGAGGCAGGAGGAUCAUGAGAUCAAAGCCAGCCUCAGCAAAAGUGAGGCGCUAAGCAAUUUAGUGAGACCCUAUCUCUA
rnacentral:sRNA from 1 species